GGUCAGGACGAACGCUGGCGGCGUGCUUAACACAUGCAAGUCGAGCGAUGAAGCUCCUUCGGGAGUGGAUUAGCGGCGGACGGGUGAGUAACACGUGGGCAACCUGCCUUGUAGAGAGGAAUAGCCAUUCGAAAGGAUGAUUAAUACCUCAUAAUAUUGUAGCUUCGCAUGAAGCAACAACCAAAGGAGCAAUCCACUACAAGAUGGGCCCGCGGCGCAUUAGCUAGUUGGUGGGGUAACGGCUCACCAAGGCGACGAUGCGUAGCCGACCUGAGAGGGUGAUCGGCCACAUUGGGACUGAGACACGGCCCAGACUCCUACGGGGGGCAGCAGUGGGGAAUAUUGCACAAUGGGGGAAACCCUGAUGCAGCCAACGCCGCGUGAGUGAUGACGGUCUUCGGAUUGUAAAGCUCUGUCUUCAGGGACGAUAAUGACGGUACCUGAGGAGGAAGCCACGGCUAACUACGUGCCAGCCGCCGC
rnacentral:rRNA from 1 species